CGGGGUUUAGGGUUUCUUAAUAUGUUAAUAUUAGAUUGAUUAAUUUUGGAGGUAAAUAUAUAUGUUCUUAUAUAUUUGUAAAAUAUAUAUCCAGAAUAAAUUUAAUAUUAAGAUAAGUUUUGAGUAUAAUAGGUAGGUGAUCACUUUAUGCAUGUACGUAGCUACAUAAAUUGAAUGGUUAAUAUGAAGAUUACAAGGUUAAUUUAUAAU
rnacentral:lncRNA from 1 species